rnacentral:rRNA from 1 species
AGCGAACGCUGGCGGCAGGCUUAACACAUGCAAGUCGAGCGGGCGUAGCAAUACGUCAGCGGCAGACGGGUGAGUAACACGUGGGAACGUACCUUUGGUUCGGAACAACACAGGGAAACUUGUGCUAAUACCGAAUAAGCCCUUACGGGGAAAGAUUUAUCGCCGAAAGAUCGGCCCGCGUCUGAUUAGCUUGUUGGUGAGGUAACGGCUCACCAAGGCGACGAUCAGUAGCUGGUCGAGAGGAUGAUCAGCCACACUGGGACUGAGACACGGCCCAGACUCCUACGGGAGGCAGCAGGUGGGGAAUAUUGGACAAUGGGGGCAACCCUGAUCCAGCCAUGCCGCGUGAGUGAUGAAGGCCCUAGGGUUGUAAAGCUCUUUUAGUGGGAUGAAAAGCACAUGGCUAAUAUCCGUGUGUCUUGACCUAACCAAAGAAAAGACACCGGCUAACUCUGUGCCAGCCGCCG